UACGUAGGGUGCGAGCGUUAAUCGGAAUUACUGGGCGUAAAGCGUGCGCAGGCGGUUUUGUAAGCCCGAUGUGAAAUCCCCGGGCUUAACCUGGGAAUGGCAUUUGGGACUGCAAGGCUCGAGUGCGGCAGAGGAGACUGGAAUUCCUGGUGUAGCAGUGAAAUGCGUAGAUAUCAGGAGGAAUACCGAUGGCGAAGGCAGGUCUCUGGGCUGACACUGACGCUCAUGCACGAAAGCGUGGGGAGCAAACAGG
rnacentral:rRNA from 1 species